rnacentral:rRNA from 1 species
GCGGCGGUUACUGUGGUGUCCGGUUGCUUCUUAGAGGGACUUUGGGGCUCUAAGCCCUGAGGAAGAUUAGAGGCAAUAACAGGUCUG